CCUGAGAACGGUAAUUCCUGGUGACAAUGCCCAGGGACGCAGGGUCAUGGCGCCGGCGUGGAGGGGUCACCGUGUGCAACCCAGAGCCAGGGCCCUUCCCUGGCUCCUGGUAGCUGGGGGCUGUUUCCUCUGCCCAGACGUCCUGGAAUCUGCCGGGCUGGUCGCCCUGUGCCCAUUCAAGGAUGAAGAAACGGCAGCUCAGGCUCGUCAAGCAAGCUGCCUGAGCUGCAAGGCUGAAGCUGGGGACCAAGACCCAUUUUUCUGAUUCCAGGUCCUGGACUGUCCUCAGAGCCCCACGAUGCCCAGGGUCUGGCCCAGGCACCUCCCGGCCCCAAGGGCUGGGGAAGUGGGUAGAGCCUCCCCUCUCGCAGGAAACCCGUGUACUUCCUGGGACUCUUGCACGCUCCUCUGCCAUAAGCUGUCACCAAAGGCUUGAUUUUCCUGGGCUGGGGCUCGUGCCAGCGCCUGGGGCUGCCAGGUGCCACUUUCUAACUCUCAGAUGGGCUGCCCUCCCCCUCCCCGCUCCCCGCAGGGCCCCCACCCCACCUGCUCCUGGCCAAGCUCAGGGGCAGCGCGGCAAGGAGCCCAUUCUGAUUUUUCUCGCCUUCUUAGGAGAAGCUUGUGCGUAGAGGGGAAGGCAGAGCAUUGGCUCUUGGAACAAAUCUGCUUUUGAUCAUGCAAAUUAAUGCCCGGUUAAUGUAGGCAGACUGUCAAUUUUACCCGUUAAAGACAGAGAGAGAGAGAGGGUGGGGGGAGAGAGAAAAGAAGAAAAAAUCCCCACCACGGCGACUGAUGAAGAAUUUCAACAGAAAGCUGCUACUUCAGAAAAUAAGAUUAUUCUCCGCGGACGGAGCCCUUCCAGGCGUCUCAGGCAGCGCAGAUGCUCCAAGGAGAGAAGUCUGCUCAGUGCGGUUGCUGAAAACAGGAACCCGCCUCCUGCAAGCCCCGCGCCUUCCUUGUUUCUAGCAGAGGAAGUUGCAGCCAGUUUAGCAACUGCACCUCUCGAGAGCAUGGGCUCCCUGGCACCCGCGAGAGGCCCGGCUGCCCGCUCACUCGGCCACAGAGGCAGCAGCUGAUGGAGAGGCGGUGACGGUGCUCCUGGCAGUCCCUCGGCUACUCCCAGGGGAGACCAUGCCCAGCUGCUGAAGAGGGCCCGGCGCGUGGCUGACGCUCCGUGUGGAUUCCCUGUGCCGUUGGCUUCGAGCGGCUUCGACAGCCCGGGGGGAGAGAGAGAUGGGGAACAGCGUGCGAUCCAGCCCAGCGCCUGCCGAGAGGCCAGCGCCCAGCCCAGAUGGAACGGACAGCGACUUCCUGGCAGUGCUGAGUGACUACCCGUCUCCUGACAUCAGCCCCCCGAUAUUCCGCCGUGGGGAGAAACUGCGCGUGAUUUCUGAUGAAGGGGGCUGGUGGAAAGCCAUUUCUCUUAGCACUGGUCGAGAGAGUUACAUUCCUGGAAUAUGUGUGGCCAGAGUUUACCAUGGCUGGCUGUUUGAAGGGCUGGGCAGAGACAAGGCAGAGGAGCUGCUCCAGCUACCAGACACGAAGAUCGGCUCCUUCAUGAUCAGAGAGAGCGAGACCAAGAAAGGGUUUUACUCGCUCUCGGUGAAGCACCGGCAGGUGAAGCAUUACCGCAUCUUCCGUCUGCCAAACAACUGGUACUACAUCUCCCCGAGGCUCACCUUCCAGUGCCUGGAGGACCUGGUGAACCACUAUUCGGGUAAGAAGCACCCCGUCGGGACAGGUCCACGAUGCCCCUCUCUGCUAACUGUCCCCUCGGUCUCUGCUGCACAUGGUCCCCAAGAUACACCCGGUGACUCGGCUCUCUUGCCCACCCUGCCUUCUCCAUUCCCUCUUUUCUUAUCACUUCGGGCUGCACAUUUCAGGCUAAGACAGGCUGCCAGUGAAGCUGCCCGAGAAAGUAAAACACAACUAACCUCAGCUUCACCCUCUCCCCACCCGGAAGCGAACCGGAGUGGGAUGUCCCGAUAUUCACAACCACAGACGGAGCGCACCUCCUUAAGUGAGCAUGCAUUUGGGCCUCUGCGGCUUUGUUCCGAAAUGCCGCUCAUUUCCCCUUUUCUGGGGGUCAAAAUCCUUGUCAACUUUCAAGACCAGCAGGUAGCCACCUUCUUGAUGAAGCCCUUAAGCCCGUUUCCUCUGCUCCCUGGCACGCCAGGCACUGGCAUUCUGCCCGGUGACCUAGUUAACUGUGCAGUAGUCCGUGUUUCCCGACAAGCUCUGAGACACCGGGGGUUUUACUUCAUGCAUCCCUACGUCCUUCCUGGGCCAGGAGAGAGCUCCAGAUGCUUGCUCCACGCUGAUCCAAGGGGGUGGGAGCAGGGUGUGUUGGUGCAGAGCUCAGACUCAGAAGAGGAUCUGGCGUGUGGAAGCUCAAGGGCUCGGGGUCGAGUUGGUGCUGCAGCCGCCGGCCUACACCGCAGCCACAGCAACACCAGAUCCUUAAUCCACUGAGCGGGGCCAGGGAUCAAACCCAAGUCCUCAUAGAUCCUAGCCAGGUUCAUUACCGCUGAGCCACAAUAGGAACUCCCAGAAGAGGACCUUUGAGCGAGACUGUGAAAGGCCUGAAUGGCUGGUCGGGAGUUUGUGUUUUACCCGAUGGAAAAAAGGGGCUUCCUUUUCUAAAAGUUGGCUCCGGAAGCUUCUUGUGUUCGUAUCCCAGCUCUUCUGGGCAAGUGCCCAUCUUCUUCCCCGUGUAUCCCAGAUGCUAAGUGUUUCUACGCAGCAGCUGUUGAGGGGGUUCACUGAGCUACAGCUCGGAGGGGGCUGACCUUGCCAGGUGCAUGAAUGUGGGCAGGGGGUCCGAAAAAGCCAGAGGUUGCUUUCACUUCAUAAGCAUCUCCCCUCCUGGAUCCGGGAUGGCUGCCUCCACACUGGGCUCUUUAGGAUACGGGUUCCUGAAGGGCAAUUUAAGGUGAAAGAUGGAGUCCACCGGCUGGUUGUCACACUUGACCCUUGAGAAGUGCAUGCUUUGAAAGAGGAAUGGCCGCUCGGCAGACCCAGGCCCAAGGCGGGGUCCGGAGUCUGUGACCUUGGCCAAAGACCUCUAUCUCUUGGAGCCUCAGCUCCCCGUUCAUGGGAGGCGGCUGAGAAGCGCCUCCCCACCGGUGGCCGACUACUGAAUAUGAUGGUUCACGUAACGCGUCCGUCACAGCCUGGCAUGGCGGAUGCAAAAUAAAUGAUAACAAACAUCACUCCUGUGAUACCCCAACACCUAGCAGCAUAGCUAAAAAUGAAAGAGGAAGGGAGUCCUGGAAACAGUCAGCUUUUACUGAUCAUGAGUAAAAACCUGGUUGUGGUAUUUGGCUUUUAAUAAGAAUCAUCUGAGAGGUGUGGUGACCAUAAGUUUUGCAUAGACAAAAGCAAACACGAAAAGGAUGCUGCCCCAGCAAAGAUGUUUACGGACUGGGAGGUCCACAAGGCUUCCGGGCCGAGGAUACCCCAGGAUCUCAAGCCAGUGCAGAAGCAGCGCCUUCCAAAAACGUACCCCUAAGCUGUUGCAUCGGCACGGGGGGAUUGCAGUCAGCAGUCACCUCUGUGAGUGACCGAAAAGGGCUUGGAGACCUGAAAAGCUUCCAGAGCCUUCGGGACCCCCAGGGAGGGAACAUCGCGUCCAAUUUCCCUCGGACCAGAUUCUUCCGAAAGGCAGAGUCAAAAACUAAGUCAAAAACUAAGCAGUGGGAAAAGGCACCUGUGUUUUACAAAUUACUGAUAUUUACUAUCCUGGUGCCCUUGGGCAAAUUAUUUACCAUCUUGGAGUCUCAGUUACUUCAUCUGUAAAAUGGGGAUUCAAAUGCCUCUCAUUGGACUGUUGUUAGGACCAAAAGGAAUCACGCCUGUGAAUUAGUUGUGACCUUGAGCAGGUGACUUGACCUCAGGGUCCUUGAUUUCUUCAUCCCCCACUGGGCGUGACAGGACGGACCGCCAGAGCUGCUGCGGUCUCCCCGAGCUGGAGCGUGCCAGGCUCACUCAGCACGGGCUCGGGCGUUCGACCUCUUCCUUGCCAAAACGCGUUUCUCAUCCUCAGAACUAACCCCCCUAAGGAACCGCCCGCUGCUGCCUCUGAUUUCUGUGGUCUUUCUGUUUGACUGGGUCUCCUUCACCUCCCAGCCUGGAGGUCAUUUCAAUUUCCAGCCCAUGACAGGUAAUUAUUUCAGCUCCGCAUCCAAUUAAGAUCCCUGUAACCUCGGGGUCCAAUCUCCCGUCUCUCCGCGUGGGCCAGCGUGGGUGGACAUUUGAGUCCUUGGCGAAAGUCGCCGCUAGACAAAGCGUUAUUGACCGCCGCCCUCGGAAAGCCCAGGCCUGCUUCUUCAGCUAGAGUUUCCUUCUGUUCUUUGGCAAGGACACCCCAAGAGCUCCACCACUGAGAUGGGAGGCAGCGCCCGCCGGAGGGGUGAUGGAUGGGCUGUGGGGCCGGGGUGGCUGCAUCCUGCCAGGGACCAGCAGCAGCUCACAUCCUCGGCUGCCUCACCUCCCCCAGGACCUGAGAAGCAGGGGGCUCUUCACCCAAGAGGGCCACGUAGCAUCUCCUCCGUGGAUAAGGACAUCUGAGUAGAGCAGAUGACACGGGCUAGGGGAAGGCUCGGAAGAGAGGGAGGCUCUACCUUACAGGCCCUGAAAGAUGAGGGAGCUGGGCAGCUCAGAGAUGUCCACUGGCAGAGGAUAAAAAGAAAGGGCUGAUUUAAUUUUCACUCCCUUUGUGCUCGAGUUUCUGAGUAGAGAGGAGAGAUGAUUCUUCAUUUCUUCCUCUAUUUUUCUCACUCUUGCCUUUUACCUCUUCUCCUUUUUUUCUCUCUUCUCCUUUUUGUUCUCUUCUUCCUCCCUCCCCACCUCCUUCCCCCCCUUUCUCUCUCCGUUUCUCUCCUACCCUCCCUCCUCUCUCCCUUCCUUCCUGACUUUUUCUGUAUCUCCCUUUCUUCCUACAGAGACAUGGGCCCCACCUGUGCUGUUUCAGCCCUGCUCUGUGUGCUGUGGGUGAAGCUGCAGUGAAUAGCCCCCCCCCCCACGCCCUGGGGACAUGGGGGGCUUACCCCCAAGCUGAAGGCCCUGGGUCUUGGUGUGAAACCUCUGUGCUCGGGGCCUCUGGUGCCCCCCCCCCCGCCGCUUUUCUCAACCGUUAGCUCAGUCCACUCAUUUUGCGGCCGAGAAACUGGCUCAGAGAGGGUCAAGGUGAUUCACUGUGAGGGCAGAGUGGAAACUCAAACCCAAGUUCGGUGGAUUCUGGAUCCUAAACUCGACUCUCCACCUGUGUCAGACUGAGUGCACUGUUUAUCUGCGGCACGUUAGUAUUUCUUCAACAGCUAGGCACGUGGCUGUCUGCUGUGCCACAUCCCUUUCAAACCUUGGCCUCUGUCUCCCCUUGCCAAUGACCAGGGCCCCUUAUCCAUCACUGCUGGGCCGCCCCAGAGUCGCUGACCGGUUCUCUGCUUGUCUCCUCAGAGGUGGCUGACGGCCUCUGCUGUGUCCUGACCACACCCUGCCUCACUCAGACCACGGCCACCCCGGCAGAAAGGGCCCCCGACUCGCCCGUCACCUUGCGCCAGAAGACCUUCGACUGGAAGAGGGCAUCCAGGCUCCGGGAGGACCCCGAGGGGGCAGGAAGCCCACUGGGCGUGGAUGAGUCCCUUUUCAGCUACGGCCUCCGGGAAAGCAUUGCCUCCUACCUGUCCCUGACCGGCGAGGACAACACCUCCUUCGAUCGGAAGAAGAAAAGCCUCUCUCUGAUGUACAGCGGGAGCAAAAGGAAGAGCUCUUUCUUCUCGUCACCACCAUACUUUGAAGACUAGCCCAAGAACAGACACUGCGGCGUUUGCCCAAAAUAACAGAGGUUUGAACUGUCACCUGGGAUCUUGCACGCUUUCCUGGUCCCUGGGAAGCCUCACCUCUUCCAAGAGCCAAGAGAAGCCACAUGGAGAAUUGAACUUGCGCCUUCUCCAUCUGCCUCAUGACAAAGGGAAACCCCUCAUUGGCACGUUGCAAAAUGUUGACUCCCGGCCUCCUGGCGAGGCGGGUGGGAGAGCCCGGCGCGCAUGCGUGCUUGCCGUGUAGGUGGGAGGGACCAGCGCUCUCCCACGGGACUCAGAGGACCACUCGGCAGCGCCCGGAUGGGUGCCCUCUGAGGUCAUUGCAGAGAACAGCUGAAUGAGAAAAGCCUGAGACGAAGAUGGGCCAGAAGCAGGUCUGGGUUUGCAGACUGACCCCCUGCACUGAACUUUCUUAAGUGUCCGUCCAUACAGAGACCUCUACGUCGCAGCUCCUCUCCUUUUAAGGGCGCUCAGUGACACUAAACGCUAACCUUCCUUACCAGCCCCGAAUCAGGAGGUCCCUCUGCGGUCUCGUUCCAAAGCCAUGUGUGCAGAAGGCAGAGGGCCUCCUUACUUCUGCCGAGGCCAAGACAAAUGGGAGACAGGGUGGCUGCUGGUGGGAAAGCACAGGGGGUGGAGGUGGGGGUCCCGAAACUGCGUGAUACUUCAUGACGUCCCCAACCAUGGCUUCACAGCACAGAGAAGGCUUCUCUAGGAGGCUGAGGCUCUUGUCUGUAUUAGUGCAUCAGUUCUGCACUCAUGAUUGCCAGAAGAGGAGCUAUGUUAAGCCCUAUAUAAGGUGUCAAGUUUAAAAAAAGUGUGUAUAUAUAUAUUUAUAUAAAAUAUAUGGUGUCACUAUACAUGCACACAGGCCCUAGCAGCAUAAACAGGGAGACAAGUGUGUAAACAAACAUUGUGAAAGAGGGGUGCAAAGGAGGACCCAGCUCACGGCUUUGUGUGGGACUGGGGUUGGGUACAAGGGACCCAGGAGCUCAUGUUUCAGCUGCAUCUUUAGACAGUGGAAGGGUUGGCUGGACUGAAUAAGGGAGAAUGGCUGGACUUUUUGGGGAAAAAAAAAAAAGGGAAAUUGAUCAGUUCUAAAGAAAUCAUCCAUCCAGUAUCUUAUUCUAAGAAGAGUCUGGCAUCCACAUAAAUAAAAAUGCUGAGCUCCAGAAAAGAUGGACAUCAGAAUGGCUUAAUUCUGUCAAACAUAAUUUUUAAGCGAGGACAGAAAAAACAGCCAACUUCUAGAGAAGGAGAAGCGUUUCUCUCCGGAUGCCGUUAGGAAAGGGCUGCAGAGGCAUCGUGACCCGUGUUCCCCGCUGCAAAAGGCAUCCGGGGAGGAGGGGUGCUGCCCUUAGAAAAGCCGGUCUGCUCAGCACGUGCCUUCUGGCCAGCUGAGAUCACAUGCAUUUACAUGCUUUUCUGUGUUAUCAGAUUCCAGGGUGUUUAUCUGAACGACAUUUGUGGUUUCCUCGACACUCCCCGAGGGCUGUUUCUAAGGGGCCGGCCAGUGUAUGGGAAAUGAAUGUAACCCGGACGCCGACGUCCCCACACGCAGCAGGACCUCGCACACUCCAGGUGUUUGUGCAGUGUCCUCUGGGUUGCUUUCCGUGGUGGCUGACGUCACUGGAACGUUUGGGAGCAUGAGGGGGGGAUUCCUAAGUGGGAAGCAUUACACGUUGCUAAAUCAUGUAUUUAUUCUUGAUUAAGAUAAACCUAAUAAAUAUUUAAUUCUUGGAACGUGA